rnacentral:lncRNA from 1 species
UUAACAUUUAUUGUGAUAAAUUGCAAACUAAUUUCAUAUUUUGAUAAAUACUCCAAAAAGUUUUGGUUAUGAAUAUAAAAAGUAAAUAAUGGAAUAUGGGAUCCAAAUCCAACCAAAAGAGUAAGUUGGCUCUAUGCUAAACCUUAAAUGACUCCCUUGAGCUCUCCAGUUUGCAUUGUGUGUUGGCAGUGCUGGGACAAGAUCGGUGCCACCUAAACUGCCUCUAACAUUGAAGCUAAGUCAUCAUAAGAGGGACCCUUGUGUUUAUUAGCAGCAAGCAGAAUUGUUUGCAAAUUAGCAGCAGGCAGAAUUGUUUGCAAGAUUUGCAGGGGAUCCCCAUGGCUUACAACCAAAAUUGCAC